rnacentral:rRNA from 1 species
CAGCAGCCGCGGGAAAACGGAGGGAGCUAGCGUUGUUCGGAAUUACUGGGCGUAAAGCGCACGUAGGCGGCUUUGUAAGUUAGAGGUGAAAGCCUGGAGCUCAACUCCAGAAUUGCCUUUAAGACUGCAUCGCUUGAAUCCAGGAGAGGUGAGUGGAAUUCCGAGUGUAGAGGUGAAAUUCGUAGAUAUUCGGAAGAACACCAGUGGCGAAGGCGGCUCACUGGACUGGUAUUGACGCUGAGGUGCGAAAGCGUGGGGAGCAGACAGGAUUAGAUACCCCAGUAGUCCCUGUCUCUUAUAA